GGAUGUGAGGGCAAUCUGGCUGCGACAUCUGUCACCCCACUGAUCGCCAGGGUUGAUUCGGCUGAUCUGGCUGGCUAGGCGGGUGUCCCCUCCUCCCUCACCGCUCCAUGUGCGUCCCUCCCGAAGCUGCGUGCUCAGUCGAAGAGGACAACCUUCCCCGAUAGAGGAGGACCAUUCUUCGGUCAAGGGUAUACGAAUAGCUGUGCUCCCCUGCUAGAACCUCCAAACAAGCUCCCAAGGUCCAUACCUCAGUUUCUUCUCUUGUAGAGCAGGUGGGUUAAUAAGAGUACUUGCCUUGUAAUGUUGACUUAAUAGUUGUGAAAAUAUAAGAGUC
rnacentral:snRNA from 1 species